rnacentral:rRNA from 1 species
AUUGAACGCUGGCGGCAGGCCUAACACAUGCAAGUCGAACGAGUGGCGGACGGGUGUGUAAUGUCUGGGACACUGCCUGCUGGAGGGGGUUAACUACUGGAAACGGUAGUUAAUACCGCAUACUGUCGGAUGUGCCCAUAUGGGAUUAGCUAGUAGGUGGGGUAAUGGCUCACCUAGGCGACGAUCCCUAGCUGGUCUGAGAGGAUGACGAGCCACACUGGAACUGUGACACGGGCCAGACUCCUCCGGGAGGCAGCAGUGGGGAAUAUUGCGAAAUGUGCGCAAGCCGGAUGCAGCCAUGCCGCGGGUAUGAAGAAGGCCUUCGGGUUGUAAAGUACUUUCAGCGGGUAGGCGUUACCCGCAGAAGAAGCACCGGCUAACUCCGUGCCAGCAGCCGCGGUAAUAC